AUGGCGAGGCAUCUCAGGGCCAGGGCCGUCAGGGAGCCAGUUAUCAACCACUCCUAGGAUGCAAGAGUCAGGACGAGGGCAAAUCACCUAAGGUCUCCAACUCCCUCACUGUAUGCUGUAGAUUGAUGGUUGGCCCUGGGCUUUGUCUUUUCCCUGGAACCUUGUCCUUUUCCUGGUUGAAGGCCUGUGCUCCUGGACCACAGCAGACCAGACUGCUCAGAUCCCCAGGAACAACUGGCAAGCAGGUAGCAAGGCAGAGCACUUCAGGAAUCUCUUGUAGGAACAAGAUGGUGAAGAUAACGAGAUGGAAGUUUGGUCUGCAAGAAACAAAGAAUUCAUGCUUUUGGAGUUUAAUGUAAUAAGCCAGGGAAAAAUGGCAAUGAACAAGAAUGAAGAUAUCAAGGGACAUUAGGUCACACAGGAACUUGAAGGUCAAAUUAAGAAAUGUAGGGAGUUUUCUUGGAGCAGU